rnacentral:misc_RNA from 1 species
UUUAUCGAAAGCAGCAAGCGUCGUAGGUCCUCCGCCAAUUCUCACCCGUUGCCCCCUCACCCCUUCCCAGCCCCACGCCUGUCUCGCAGCGAAAGAAGAACGCAAAGUGACGCACCGUAGGAGAAGGGGGGCAAGCGUGCCCGCAUCACACCGCCCCGGCACGGACUCACGUACACCCGCCAACGGAGAGGCAUCGAAUACACGUGCAUCGUUGCCUCUCCUUCCCUCUCCCCGACCAUUCCGUUGCUGGGAGGCUGCCUGGAAGCGUGAGUAAAUAAAGAUAUCUAUUUAUCUCUAUAUACAUAUCUACCUAUAUCUAUCUAUCUAUCUAUCUAUAUAUAUAUAUAUAUAUAUAUAUAUAUAUAUAUGCAUAUUCACGCAACGAAGGAGACGUAGUCACACGUCGUUGGGUGGUGAUCUCUCUCUAUGGCUGUCUGCCUGCCUGUCUCUCGCGUGUUGUCUUUCGCUUCCCCAUCAAACACACAAAGCAUCCACCCAGGCACACGCUCCUACCCUCCCCGCUGCCCCACACUGACGCCUGCACGCUCGGCAGGGCAGCUGUAAAAGAUCGAUCGCUGCUACCCCGGAGCUGAGGUAGACCCCAUCACCCUUCCGCCUCCGCCUAUCUCAUCCUUCCACCCACCCCACCCCCACCCCCUUGAACAGCGGCCGCUGGUUCGUUGGUGUGUACGUUGUGUGCUAUUCUCUCUCUCGGCCUCUGCAUCGCGUGGACCCCACGGAUUGUCAAAUCCGUGUCGAACAAGCGUCAUACCAGACUGCCGGCUGCCAUCAGCCUCCACCCUUUAAAUCCCAACUCUCUCUCGAGUGGCAAGAUAAAGCAAGUCCUCCUCCUCUCGUCCCGCGAGGCUUUGCCGAUCCACACACCUGCAUCGCACCCACGCACAUCCGAAGGAAAAGGGUGUCUCUAAGGAGUGCGGCACGAUUCUCGCGCUUCCCCCUCGUUCCCUGUCAAGCCACAGCGACGACGACCGCGCGCUGACCUCUGCGACGCUUUUCCUUGUUCUUCUCUGCCUCCCUGCCUCCCUCCCGUGUGGCUCUUCUCUGUCCGCCGCGUUUCCUUCGCCGUGUGCGCCACCACCCGCUCUUCUCUGUAAACAGAGAAACGACAAUAUAGAUCCUUGUUUUCCCCUCUCCUCUCUUCUCUCUACAUCGCCCUUGGCGGCGUUAUCUCGGCUGUACGCGCUUUCCCCCGUCUCUCUCACACACACGCUCCCUCUCUGCCUCCCUGCUAUUCGAUUUUUUUUUUGUUGUUGGCGCGCGCACCGCUGUGCCUCUGUGCGCUCUCCAUUCCUCUCCGCCCUGUCGACUUGCUUUUCUUUUCUAUUUUCACUGUUGUCUACGCGUGUGUGUGUGUGGGUUGUUCGUCGAGGCGGACGUGUGUAUGUGCAUGACGGUGCGCGUGCGUCAUUUCAAGCGUGCGUGAGCCUCAGCCACUUCCCUCCCUCUGAACGUCUUUUCUUCGAUUGUCGGCCCGCGUACCCCUUUUGGGCGUGCGGUACGCGCCGGUGGCUGUCGCGAGCCCCGCUCUCUCUCUAAUUUCUGUGUUUCGUGCCGACCCUUGUUUUGUUUUUAUUGCUAUUUCUCUCUCCUGCCGCUUUCUCUUCUCUCGUGACUUCGUCCCUCGCUCUGCCAAGCGUCCGCCCGUAGCUCGUGCGAGCGUGCGCUUUCUUUCCCCAACCCCCUCUGUGUGUCUUCCAUUCUCCGUAGCGAACUACCUGCUCUCGGGGUCUUUGUCGUCCUGUGCGCUUCCGUUUCGUUGUCCCGCUCUCGACCUGUGUUUUGCGCGCGCGCUCGUGUUGAUUUGUUGGCGACCGGGCUUGUUCUUGUGUGCCGGUGCGGCUCUGUGUGACGUCCUACUUUGACCCACGAAUACACAGGCACACACACACACACUGUGGCGGAGAAAGCGGCAGCAAAGUCCACGGUGCAACGCCGUGCAAGCGUCAUUGAUAGUCUCUCUCUCUCUGUGCGUGCGGGUGUACGGACGUGUUUCGAAGUCAGCACAAGCGAACG